rnacentral:rRNA from 1 species
AGAGUUUGAUCCUGGCUCGGGAUGAACGCUAGCGACAGGCCUAACACAUGCAAGUCGAGGGGCAGCGGAGAGGUAGCAAUACCUUUGCCGGCGACCGGCGCACGGGUGAGUAACACGUAUGCAAUCCACCUGUAACAGGGGGAUAACCCGGAGAAAUCCGGACUAAUACCCCAUAAUAUGGGCGCUCCGAAUGGAGAGCCCAUUAAAGAGAGCAAUUUUGGUUACAGACGAGCAUGCGCUACAUUAGCCAG